AGGCCUUUAGCUCGAGGGUUCGAGCGUCCGGCUCAUAACCGGUUGGCGUGGAUUCAAUUUCCGCACGGCCUA
rnacentral:tRNA from 1 species